rnacentral:rRNA from 1 species
CGAACGGGUGCGUAACACGUGAACAACCUGCCCUCGUGUGGGGGAUAGCCAUGCUAACGCGUGGGUAAUACCGCAUACGUUCUCUUGGGGGAGUCCCUGGGAGAGGAAAGCUCCGGCGCACGGGGAGGGGUUCGCGGCCUAUCAGCUAGUUGGUGCGGUAACGGCGCACCAAGGCGACGACGGGUAGCUGGUCUGAGAGGAUGGCCAGCCACAUUGGGACUGAGAGACGGCCCAG